rnacentral:rRNA from 1 species
ACGCUGGCGGCGUGCCUAAUACAUGCAAGUAGAACGCUGAAGAGAGGAGCUUGCUCUUCUUGAAUGAGUUGCGAACGGGUGAGUAACGCGUAGGUAACCUGCCUUGUAGCGGGGGAUAACUAUUGGAAACGAUAGCUAAUACCGCAUAACAAUGGGUGACACAUGUCAUUUAUUUGAAAGGGGCAAUUGCUCCACUACAAGAUGGACCUGCGUUGUAUUAGCUAGUAGGUGAGGUAACGGCUCACCUAGGCGACGAUACAUAGCCGACCUGAGAGGGUGAUCGGCCACACUGGGACUGAGACACGGCCCAGACUCCUACGGGAGGCAGCAGUAGGGAAUCUUCGGCAAUGGGGGCAACCCUGUCCGAGCAACGCCGCGUGAGUGAAGAAGGUUUUCGGAUCGUAAAGCUCUGUUGUAAGUCAAGAACGAGUGUGAGAGUGGAAAGUUCACACUGUGACGGUAGCUUACCAGAAAGGGACGGCUAACUACGUGCCAGCAGCCGCGGUAAUACGUAGGUCCCGAGCGUUGUCCGGAUUUAUUGGGCGUAAAGCGAGCGCAGGCGGUUUGAUAAGUCUGAAGUUAAAGGCUGUGGCUCAACCAUGGUUCGCUUUGGAAACUGUCAAACUUGAGUGCAGAAGGGGAGAGUGGAAUUCCAUGUGUAGCGGUGAAAUGCGUAGAUAUAUGGAGGAACACCGGUGGCGAAAGCGGCUCUCUGGUCUGUAACUGACGCUGAGGCUCGAAAGCGUGGGGAGCGAACAGGAUUAGAUACCCUGGUAGUCCACGCCGUAAGCGAUGAGUGCUAGGUGUUGGAUCCUUUCCGGGAUUCAGUGCCGCAGCUAACGCAUUAAGCACUCCGCCUGGGGAGUACGACCGCAAGGUUGAAACUCAAAGGAAUUGACGGGGGCCCGCAC